rnacentral:rRNA from 1 species
GGUUAAGCGACUAAGCGUACACGGUGGAUGCCCUGGCAGUCAGAGGCGAUGAAGGACGUGCUAAUCUGCGAUAAGCGCCGGUAAGGUGAUAUGAACCGUUAUAACCGGCGAUUUCCGAAUGGGGAAACCCAGUGUGACUCGUCACACUAUCAUUAACUGAAUCCAUAGGUUAAUGAGGCGAACCGGGGGAACUGAAACAUCUAAGUACCCCGAGGAAAAGAAAUCAACCGAGAUUCCCCCAGUAGCGGCGAGCGAACGGGGAGGAGCCCAGAGCCUGAAUCAGCAUGUGUGUUAGUGGAAGCGUCUGGAAAGGCGCGCGAUACAGGGUGACAGCCCCGUACACAAAAGCGCAUGUGCUGUGAGCUCGAUGAGUAGGGCGGGACACGUGGUAUCCUGUCUGAAUAUGGGGGGACCAUCCUCCAAGGCUAAAUACUCCUGACUGACCGAUAGUGAACCAGUACCGUGAGGGAAAGGCGAAAAGAACCCCGGCGAGGGGAGUGAAAAAGAACCUGAAACCGUGUACGUACAAGCAGUGGGAGCCCCACCACUAAGCCAGUGGUGAACUCCACAUACGCAUCCUUUGCUGAGGAUACGGUUAACGGAGCGAAAGCGACGUUCAACCUCAAAAGAAGCAGAGGGGGCUUAGUGGUGGGGUGACUGCGUACCUUUUGUAUAAUGGGUCAGCGACUUAUAUUCUGUAGCAAGGUUAACC